rnacentral:rRNA from 1 species
AGGACGAACGCUGGCGGCGUGCUUAACACAUGCAAGUCGAGCGAUGCCCAUCUUUCGGGGUGGUGCCAUAGCGGCGAACGGGUGAGUAACACGUGGGCAAUCUGCCCCUAGCUCUGGGAUAACUCCGGGAAACCGGGCUAAUACUGGAUAUGACCUUUCCUCGCAUGGGGUUGGGUGUAAAGGGUUUCUGGCUAGGGAUGGGCCCGCGGCCUAUCAGCUUGUUGGUGGGGUAAUGGCCUACCAAGGCGACGACGGGUA